UACGGAGGGUGCGAGCGUUGUCCGGAAUCACUGGGCGUAAAGGGCGCGUAGGUGGCGCGGGAAAGUCAACGGUGAAAGCUUGGGGCUCAACCCCGAGUCGGCCGUCCGAUACUUCUGGGCUUGAGCACUGUAGAGGCAGAUGGAAUUCCGGGUGUAGCGGUGGAAUGCGUAGAGAUCCGGAAGAACACCGGGUGGCGAAGGCGGUCUGCUGGGCAGUAGCUGCACUGAUGCGCGAC
rnacentral:rRNA from 1 species